CCAAAAGUGACUUUUGCACUUCAGAUUGAAUGGAUGCAGAUUGAAUGGAUGAGGAACGAGCGCAGUGCUGUAGUAACUGUAGUGACUGUGGUGCCUUCAGGUUAACUAAACUAAGCUAGCUGUCGGCUGCUGCUGGUAGCUUAGCAUACAGACAUCACAUCUUUCAACUUCAGAGUACUCAGCUGUGAAUAUUCAUGGUGCUGCUAACAGGAGCUGGAUUCAUUCAGUGACCCGCUGACAUUUGUUCUGGCGGUUUGACAUGAAUGUGGCUGAACUGGGGUCAUUCCUGCUCCCCAGAGGACGAACCGCUGUCUUUCUGGACUCCUGAACAGCCAGAGCAUCAUUUCAUUUCCUGAGAACAUUCAUGCAUUAAACUGGGUCGCUUGACUUCAGUGUCA